rnacentral:lncRNA from 1 species
CUUUGAUAUUAAUUCAAAAUAUGUAGCCCUGUUCAUCUUCGCAGAUUCGGGAUCAUGCCCCGACAAGCACGCUCCUGUACUUGCCGCAGUGGGAUGCCGGCGCCUGGCCCUCGACUGGAUCGGCGUGGGCUGAAUGCCCUCUACCGGGGGAAUCCAUCUUGAGCGAUCCACAGCGCGGACUGGGAGGCUUUGCCUGCCUCGCCUGCAUCUCCUUUGCAUCAAAACACAGCGGGGGACGAGGGGAGGGGGAGACCAGACUAAAUAACGCCGAAGUGCCUUCAGCAAGGGGCAGCAGGGAGGAAAUCGGUGGUGCUCCUCUCAGCUGUGCUGCUUCAGUGAGAGAAGCGGGAGAAAGCUUGUCAGGCUCCUCUCCCCUGCCACCGUAUAGGCCAGGCAUCGGCCCCAGCUUUGCUCUUCGUGUUGCCCACAGACAUGUUGCCAUGCUACCAUGUUAGGAGUUUCACCCCCAUCACAUGCAGCAGACACCAGGCUUCCUUGUGCGAGAGAGAUCUGAAGUGCUGUGCUGGGACCCCCCCUCAAGUUUAAUAACACCCUUGCUGGUUGCUGCUCAACCGGGCUAUGAAAGGCGACAAAGAUGGCGGCAGGAGAGCAGCAUGGAGCUGCCCACCUUGUCCUUCCCUGUCCUGGCCUGCUGCACUUGCAAUUCCUUUGUCCCAGCCCAGAAGAUUUGA